UCCCCUAUCCGUUUAGGGUGUCCCUACUGUAGCAUGCAUUCCUGGUUAACGGGAAGGUGUGAAGCCUACAGGACAAUGUGGAGAAGAAUAGAACCCUGAUCUAUACAAUCUGCUAGGGAAAAAGCCGCCAUGGAG
rfam:Methanosarcina acetivorans str. C2A, complete genome.